AAUCAACGCUGGCGGCGUGCCUCAGACAUGCAAGUCGAACGAUUAAACUUCCCUUCGGGGAAGAUAUAAAGUGGCGCACGGGUGAGUGACACGUAAGUAAUCUACCUUCGAGUGGGGAAUAACAUCGGGAAACCGAUGCUAAUACCGCAUAACGCAGCGGCACCUUAUGGUGACAGUUGUUAAAGGAGCAAUUCGCUUGAAGAGGAGCUUGCGGCAGAUUAGCUAGUUGGUAAGGUAAUGGCUUACCAAGGCUUCGAUCUGUAUCCGGUCUAAGAGGACGGUCGGACACACUGACACUGAAUAACGGGUCAGACUCCUACGGGAGGCAGCAGUCGGGAAUUUUGGGCAAUGGGCGAAAGCCUGACCCAGCAACGCCGCGUGAAGGAUGAAGUAUUUCGGUAUGUAAACUUCGAAAGAAUGGGAAGAACUCAAUGACGGUACCAUUUAUAAGCUCCGGCUAACUACGUGCCAGCAGCCGCGGUAAUACGUAGGGAGCAAGCGUUGUUCGGUA
rnacentral:rRNA from 1 species